rnacentral:rRNA from 1 species
CGUCUACUUGUAGAGCCUGACCUCCACUUCUAACACUGUGCACUUGAUGGCGAGGUAAUGGAACUUUCGAGUGAAACUACCUUGCGGCUUCAUUUUAAACAUUAGUCAAAGUAUGUAAUGAAAUAAAAAACAAAAAAAAACUUUCAACAACGGAUCUCUUGGCUCUCGCAUCGAUGAAGAACGCAGCGAAAUGUGAUAAGUAAUGUGAAUUGCAGAAUUCAGUGAAUCAUCGAAUCUUUGAACGCACCUUGCGCUCCCUGGUAUUCCGGGGAGCAUGCCUGUUUGAGUGUCAUGAACUCUUCAACCCACCAGUUUCUAGUAGACUGCGUUGGUGUUUGGAUUUUGAGCGUUGCUAGUCUGACUAGCUCGUUCGUAAUAUAUUAGCAUCUCUAAUUCGAAUUCGGAUUGACUCAGUGUAAUAGACUAUUCGCUGAGGACACUUUUAUUAGUGGCCGUACUAGAACCAGUAGAAGCUUCCAACUAUUGUAGUCAACUUUAAUUUAGACCUCAGAUCAGGCAGGA